AAUAGUACAUGCAAGUCGAGCGAACAGAAGGGAGCUUGCUCCCGGAUGUUAGCGGCGGACGGGUGAGUAACACGUGGGUAACCUGCCUGUAAGACUGGGAUAACUCCGGGAAACCGGAGCUAAUACCGGAUAGUUCCUUGAACCGCAUGGUUCAAGGAUGAAAGACGGUUUCGGCUGUCACUUACAGAUGGACCCGCGGCGCAUUAGCUAGUUGGUGGGGUAAUGGCUCACCAAGGCGACGAUGCGUAGCCGACCUGAGAGGGUGAUCGGCCACACUGGGACUGAGACACGGCCCAGACUCCUACGGGAGGCAGCAGUAGGGAAUCUUCCGCAAUGGACGAAAGUCUGACGGAGCAACGCCGCGUGAGUGAUGAAGGUUUUCGGAUCGUAAAGCUCUGUUGUUAGGGAAGAACAAGUGCGAGAGUAACUGCUCGCACCUUGACGGUACCUAACCAGAAAGCCACGGCUAACUACGUGCCAGCAGCCGCGGUAAUACGUAGGUGGCAAGCGUUGUCCGGAAUUAUUGGGCGUAAAGGGCUCGCAGGCGGUUUCUUAAGUCUGAUGUGAAAGCCCCCGGCUCAACCGGGGAGGGUCAUUGGAAACUGGGAAACUUGAGUGCAGAAGAGGAGAGUGGAAUUCCACGUGUAGCGGUGAAAUGCGUAGAGAAUGUGGAGGAACACCAGUGGCGAAGGCGACUCUCUGGUCUGUAACUGACGCUGAGGAGCGAAAGCGUGGGGAGCGAACAGGAUUAGAUACCCUGGUAGUCCACGCCGUAAACGAUGAGUGCUAAUGGGUUU
rnacentral:rRNA from 1 species